rnacentral:rRNA from 1 species
AUUGAACGCUGGCGGCGUGCUUAACACAUGCAAGUCGAACGAUGAAGCGGCCAGCUUGCUGGUGGUGGAUUAGUGGCGAACGGGUGAGUAACACGUGAGUAACCUGUCCUUCACUCUGGGAUAAGCCCUGGAAACGGGGUCUAAUACUAGAUAUUCUCAAUGUGCCGCAUGGUGUGUUGUGGAAAGAUUUUUUGGUGAGGGUUGGACUCGCGGCCUAUCAGCUUGUUGGUGGGGUAGUGGCCUACCAAGGCUUUGACGGGUAGCCGGCCUGAGAGGGUGACCGGCCACACUGGGACUGAGACACGGCCCAGACUCCUACGGGAGGCAGCAGUGGGGAAUAUUGCACAAUGGGCGAAAGCCUGAUGCAGCGACGCCGCGUGAGGGAUGACGGCCUUCGGGUUGUAAACCUCUUUCAGUAGGGAAGAAGCCCUUUGGGGUGACGGUAGGUGGAGAAGAAGCACCGGCUAACUACGUGCCAGCCGCCGCCGUAAGAC